CAAGACUAGUUUGGCUUUUUUGAGUUCUCUUUUCUUGAACAGUACAGGCUAGAAUAGAUUUGCCACUGGCUAAAGAAGAGUUACUGUAUCUGCAUCUACCAAAAUAUCCAUCUGUUAAUCUCGGACUCAGGCGGAAAGUUCUGAACUUUGAUGCACUUGUGAACACAUCUGUUGAAGCCAUGAUGUGGCGGCCCUUCAUCUUCAGCUGCUUAAUCGCAUGCACAGGAAAGCUUGUGAGCACUUCAUGUCCAUUUGACAUAACCCCUCCUAGAGUUGUGGUGAGAUUUGGAGACUCCUUAUCAGCAAACUGCACCUCACUAUCUGACCAGACUGAUGGAAUGGGAUGGGAGUGUCCAUAUGGAGGAUUGGACCUUACCCAGGGUGUUUCUUCUCUUCUAUUUAAAAUUGACUCUGUGCCAGGGUGGGAGUUAGGGCCAAUGUGUUUUGUAAAUCUCCAUGAUGGUGAUAGUGUGUGAAAACAUUGCCAGUCACUGUUUAUAAAAUGCCAGACAGUGUGUCUCUGAAGAAUUUACGUACAGUGGAAGAAGGCCGACAGUUUGUCAUACAGUGUGAUGUUGUUAAUGUUGCACCAGCAAGAAAUCU